rnacentral:lncRNA from 1 species
AACGCUUACGUUUCUUCAUUAAAGGCGUUUUAAAGGGUCAGUUACAGGGCAUUUAGGAGGCCGGCCGUGACCACCACCGGGGCUGUCUCUGGCUUUAAAAGCCAGAGAAAGGCAACGGGAAAAAAAACAGAGAGAUCACGGGGAAAGAAAAAACAGAGCAAACAAACGGAACAAAAAACACAGAGACGAGAAGGAAAGAAAAACAGAGGAGCAACGCAGAGACAAGGAUUGGCCCUGCCAUUGUCUUCAUCCCUGUAGAAAAAAGAACGACCCAGAAAUUAUUUUCCACAGAAAGUCGGCAUCUGCAUCAUCUUCUUAGCUCCUUCAUCAUUCAAGAAGUUGUUGGAAAACGAAAGUAGACGUUGGACACAAAAGGAAGAAAGUAAUAGAUGAGAGUCACCACCAGCGCUGUAACCAUCUUCAUCGCCUCCCGAAGCAGCUACGCCCUUUCCUUUCUCCUUUCAUUCUCUGCAUAUUUUAUUCAUAAACACUGUGCGAAGGUAAUUUAAUUACCUUCGCACUGUGCAGCACGCGUGAAGUUACUUCACGCGUGCCUUUGACUUAGCCCCGCCAGGUCACUGGCUUGGGCCAGUGACCGGGCCGGGCUGGCUGGGUCUAGCCCAGCCCCAUAUGGGUUGAGUUGGAACCAGCCCAAAAAAUAAAAAUAAAAAAAAUAAAAAAUAUAUGCAUGCAAUAAAUAAAAAAAUAUAAAUUUAUUGGUUUAUUCACUGACGCCAGAGCCAGGAAUAAAAAUACUGAUUUAAAUUUAUUUUAUUUUAUUGUAUUUCGUUUUAUUUUAUUUAGCUACAUAAAUAAAAAGUAAAAAAAAAUGUGUAGGCGUAGAAAAUAAACUUAUUUUAUUUGUUUAUUCACUGAUGUUAGAGUUAGGAGUAAAGUAAAUGAUUUAAAUUAAUUUUGUUUUUAUAAAUAUUUAUCAACGCCAGAGUUAGAAGUAUCCGUAGUUGAAUAUUCACUGGCACUUGAGUCAGAAAUAUUACAAGUAAGGCAUCAUAGCACAAACUAACAAACUUUUAGCAAUUUAAGACAAAACCAGCAAUGUAGCUGACCUCAGGUAGGGUGCGCUAGGAGUGCUAAUACUUUCUCUAGCUACAACCAGUCUCGAACCAUAGAAUCUCUGUUGACCAGUUAGGGUUCCUAGUGACCAUAAUACUAGGUGGCGACUCCUUAAAUAAGACAUUUCCCCAUCAAAAGAAUAAGAUGCCGGAUAUCUAUUCUUUUUUCAAUCCAGAUUAAAAAAAAUUGGGCCGCCGCGAUAUCCGGGUGUGACAACUUUGAUAGGAAAAGAACUUUUUUAAGGAGUUACCAUCUAAUAUUAUAGUCACUACGAACACUAAUUGAUUAAUAGAGAUUGGUAUGAGACUGGUUACACAAAAGAGAAAAUAUUAUCACCCUUUAAGUGUCCUGUCUGAGGCAGACUGCAUUGCUGACUUUGUUUUAAAUUGUUAAGAGUUUGUUGUUUUAUAUUAUGAUGGUUUGCUUGUAAGAUUCCAGACUCUAGUAUCAGUGAAUAUUUAACUGUGUAUAUUUUUAACUCUGACAUUGGUAAAUAUUAUGUAGCCUAAAAAAACAUAUGAUAUUUUUUUUAAUAAGAAACAAUCCCACCUUUUUAUGAAGAAAAAAGGGCACUUCUAGAAAAUGAACAUGAUAGUCCAAUUAGCUGAUUUCAUCGACUAAUCACUGCCCUCGUGAGAUAUUAUCUUGAAAUGAAUUAGCUGAUGAUGACCGCAAUUACUUCUUUAGUUAGUCCCUUGUAGUGUUCAUGCCGACUAAAAUUUGAGGACAUUUUGUCGUGAUGGUCUAAAACAAGUUUCCCCGACCCUAUAUAUAAUAUCAGCAUGUCUAACUUUUGUCAUCAAUAAGAAAAUUUUUCAUAUAUGAUGGUAUCUCAAAAAAUUCAAGUAAUCUAGAAAUAAGAUGCUCGGAUUGGAUAAAUGGUUGAUCAAUCGGUCCUAUCAAUAUCUUUCAUUUUUCCUAGUCAAGAUGGUUGAUAGCUUAUACUUGGUAUUUGACAGGUCAAGGUGGCUUGUGGUUAGUACCUGUAAGAGAUUCUCUUUGAUGGAGUUGUGGAC